rnacentral:misc_RNA from 1 species
GAUGAAGAACGUAGCGAAAUGCGAUAAGUAAUGUGAAUUGCAGAAUUCAGUGAAUCAUCGAAUCUUUGAACGCACAUUGCGCCCCUUGGUAUUCUGAGGGGCAUGCCUGUUCGAGCGUCAUUAUAACCCCUCAAGCUCAGCUUGGUGUUGGGGCCUGCUGCACUGGCAGCCCUUAAAAUCAGUGGCGGCGCCAUCUGGCUCUAAGCGUAGUAAUUCUUCUCGCUAUGGAGUCCUGGUGGAUGCUUGCCAUCAACCCCCAAUUUUUCUAUGGUUGACCUCGGAUCAGGUAGGGAUACCCGCUGAACUUAAGCAUAUCAAAAGCGGAGGA